rnacentral:tRNA from 8 species
UGCGGGGUGGAGCAGUUGGUAGCUCGUCGGGCUCAUAACCCGAAGGUCGUUGGUUCGAAUCCAUCCCCCGCAACCA